rnacentral:sRNA from 1 species
GUGCAAGUAACUAAUCAAUCAUCCAUGCAUCUUUUUUCCCUAAUACGCGGCGUAAGGCUGGCUGUCUGUCUGUCUGUCUGUCUGUCUGUCUGUCUUAUUAUUUUUUCAAAAAAUUGUCCCGGGACGGAAUACCUGUUUUGAAGAAGAGAACCUGGCAGAUGUUUAUUUAUUUAUCUAUUUAUUUAUUUCCCUAUUUCCCUUAUUUUAUUGUUUUUCCUAAUCCCUGAUUCGGCACAUUAAGAGGAACCUUGGAAUCUUGGACGAAGGUAGCCCUACCGCCACCAAGUUUAGUUUCAACCCUGUGCCUAAUUUUGGAGGGGAUAUCUCGCAUAGUAUUUAUCGCGUUGACGCACUAGGGUUCUCUCAGCGUUGCCGCGCGUUGUUGAAAUAUCAUCCCGCACCACACAACAUAUAUAUAUCGAAGGAAGGUUAUAUAUUCCUUUUUUGCCGUUCGAAGGAAUAACAAGAAAGAACAAGAAGGUUUAUCUUUUCAGCUUAACUGGAGAGAACUGUUCGACCUCUCAGGUACAUACAUAAAUGGAAAGUUAUGCGCCUCGCAUCAUCGACGGCGAUCAGUGCAUCGCAUCGCAUCGCAUCGGCCCUAUCGAAAACUGAACC